UAAAGAGUGCGUAACAGCUCACUAGUCGAGUGACCCUGCGCCGAAAAUGUACCGGGGCUAAGCCUGAUACCGAAACUGCGGAUUGUAGGAAACUAUAGUGGUAGGGGAGCGUUGUAUACGAGCAGAAGCCGUACCGUGAGGAGCGGUGGAUUGUAUAGAAGUGAGAAUGCCGGUGUGAGUAGCGAGAUGUAGGUGAGAAUCCUACACACCGAAAGCCCAAGGAUUCCAGGGGAAGGUUCGUCCGCCCUGGGUAAGUCGGGACCUAACGCGAGGCCGAAAGGCGUAGUGGAUGGAAAGCAGGCGAAAGAUUCCUGCACCCGUAUAUGGAGCGAAGGAGUGACGGAGACGGAUAGUGUGACCCUCUUAAUGGAUUGAGGGCGAAGCGAAGCGGCUGGUUACCAGGCAAAUCCGGUAACCAAAAGGCUAGAGCGUGACAGGUAAGCGAAAUCUUAGGAAAGUAGCGAAGCACAUGAUGACGGCUUCCAGGAAAAGCUUCUGGCAAUGCAUAUGCGGCCCGUACCAAAACCGACACAGGUGGGCAGGGAGAGAAUCCCGAGGUGAGCGAGAGAACUGUUGCCAAGGAACUCGGCAAAAUGACUCCGUAAGUUAGCGAGAAGGAGUGCUUAAGCAAUUAAGCCGCAGUGAAGAGGCCCAAGCGACUGUUUAACUAAAACACAGCUCUCUGCGAAGUCGCAAGACGAAGUAUAGGGGGUGACACCUGCCCGGUGCUGGAAGGUUAAGAGGAUCUGUUAAGAGCGAUCUGAAGCAGUGAUCCGAAGCCCCAGUGAACGGCGGCCGUAACUAUAACGGUCCUAAGGUAGCGAAAUUCCUUGUCAGGUAAGUUCUGACCCGCACGAAAGGUGUAACGAUUUGGGCGCUGUCUCGGCAGCAGACUCGGUGAAAUCUUAGUACCUGUGAAAAUGCAGGUUACCCGCAACUAGACGGAAAGACCCCAUGGAGCUUUACUGCAGCCUGAUAUUGAAUUCUGGUCAUACAUGUACAGGAUAGGUGGGAGACAAAGAGACGUGCACGCCAGUGUACGAGGAGUCGACGUUGGGAUACCACUCUUGUGUGACCGGGGUUCUAACCUGGUAUCGAGAACAGGUACGGGGAGAGUGUCAGGUGGGCAGUUUGACUGGGGCGGUCGCCUCCCAAAGAGUAACGGAGGCGCCCAAAGGUACGCUCAGAUUGGAUGGAAACCAAUCGUCGAGUGCAAUUGCAGAAGCGUGCUUGACUGUGAGACAAACAAGUCGAACAGGGACGAAAGUCGGGAAUAGUGAUCCGGCGGUGCCGAAUGGAAG
rnacentral:rRNA from 1 species